UACGUAGGUGGCAAGCGUUGUCCGGAUUUACUGGGCGUAAAGAGCGCGCAGGCGGUUGAUUAAGUCGAAUGUGAAAGCCCCCGGCUCAACUGGGGAGGGUCAUUCGAUACUGAUCGACUUGAAGGCAGGAGAGGGAAGUGGAAUUCCGGGUGUAGUGGUGAAAUGCGUAGAUAUCAGGAGGAACAUCAGUGGCGAAAGCGGCUUCCUGGCCCGAUACUGACGCUCAUGUACGAAAGCGUGGGGAGCAAACAGG
rnacentral:rRNA from 1 species